UACGUAGGGUGCAAGCGUUAAUCGGAAUUACUGGGCGUAAAGCGCGCGCAGGCGGUUCUGCAGGUGGCUCGUGAAAGCUCCGGGCUCAACUCGGAAAUUGCUCUGCAUACUGGCGGACUCGAGGACGGAAGAGGUUUGUGGAAUUCCUGGUGUAGCGGUGAAAUGCGUAGAUAUCAGGAGGAACACCCAUGCGAAGGCAGCAACUGGUCCGUAUCUGACGCUGAGGCGCGAAAGCGUGGGUAGCAAACAGG
rnacentral:rRNA from 1 species